GUGCUCCGUGCAGCAGCACAAAUGCUAAAACUGGAACAAUACAGAGAUUAGCAGGGCCCCUGCACAAGGAUGACUCGCAAAUUCGGGAAGCCUUCCAUAUUAAA
ensembl:snRNA U6 U6 spliceosomal RNA